rnacentral:rRNA from 1 species
GGACGGGUGAGUAACACGUGGGUAACCUACCUAUAAGACUGGGAUAACUUCGGGAAACCGGAGCUAAUACCGGAUAACAUUUGGAACCGCAUGGUUCUAAAGUGAAAGAUGGUUUUGCUAUCACUUAUAGAUGGACCCGCGCCGUAUUAGCUAGUUGGUAAGGUAACGGCUUACCAAGGCAACGAUACGUAGCCGACCUGAGAGGGUGAUCGGCCACACUGGAACUGAGACACGGUCCAG